rnacentral:miRNA from 2 species
UUACAGGCUAUGCUAAUCUAUG